rnacentral:rRNA from 1 species
UACGAAGGGGGCUAGCGUUGCUCGGAAUUACUGGGCGUAAAGCGCACGUAGGCGGCUCGUUGCGUCGGCUGUGAAAACCCGCAGCUCAACUGUGGGCUUGCAGCUGAUACGGGCGGGCUGGGAUUCGGUAGGGGAGACUGGAAUUCCUGGUGUAGCGGUGAAAUGCGCAGAUAUCAGGAGGAACACCGGUGGCGAAGGCGGGUCUCUGGGCCGAUAUCGACGCUGAGGAGCGAAAGCGUGGGGAGCGAACAGG